rnacentral:rRNA from 1 species
UACCGUAGAAGUAGAGAUAGUCAGCACAACUAGGACACGGACCGGCGCCGCCGCAGCCGCGUCGACAGCUGCUGCAAGAUGCUGUUCAGCACGGGAAACCGAGAACUUUUUUAGGUCUUGCCGCACCGCUGCCGGCACUUCUUGCUGGCGGCGUACCGGCGCAGCGACGAGGCCUACGUAAAAGUACUGACGAAACAGGUCCCGACACUGCGCAGGCAAGACAACUUACUCUGAUCGCACCCACCGUUGCUCGCCCCCCGUAAGCCCUUGCACCCUAGCGACGCACCGAAGCUCCAGUAACUUGUUUAUUUCUUCCUACAGCUUCGGCACACGUUUUUCGGCAUGUCGUUGGUGCCGGGGUAGCAGAGGACGCGGCUGUAGGAGCGGCAGCGGCGGGCAUCUACAGGGCAACGUUGCGUACCCGGGAGCACCCUCCAAUUCGACCCCUCCUCCCUGAGGUGGUACCGAUCACACUGUGUCUAGCUGGUCUUGGACGGACGCGGCAAGAACCCGCAGCGGCCGGAGUUGCGGUCGAAGCAGCCGUUCCCCAAGUUGGACUGGCUGUACCAGCGGGAGAGACCGCCGGUGUGGUAGCCCUACCGCGUCACGGUCUUGAAGUCCCCGUCCGAGAUGUUGCUCAGGUUGUAGUUGUGCUGGAUGCGCUGGUUCGAGUUCAAGUUGACGGGGGUCAGGCCGCCGUUGUGGUUGGACCGGGGCGAGCUGCUGCUGUGUUGCUAGGGGGGCUUGGGCCUGAACAAGUUGUUGCUGAUGAAGUAGUUGGAGGUCAGGCUCUUCCCGGAGGAAGUGAGGCUUGUCCACGACAUGUUGCGGUGGCGUCGGCGGCCACGGUGGCUCCUGUAGCAAUUCCGGAAGCGAAGAUCGGUCCGGCGGAAGAAAUCGCGGAAGCGGAGGCGGUACCGCUUCUACCGGUUGGAGUCGGGCAACUGACCGAGAGUCCCGGUCCAGUCCUCGCACACGAGGUAGGGGUUGAUU